rnacentral:misc_RNA from 1 species
AUAACGUGGGUCCUUACCAAGGGCCAUUCAAUAUCCAGCUUCAAGUGUAUUCAGCAUAUC